rnacentral:tRNA from 1 species
GAGAUAUGAAACUCAGAAAAAAGCUUCUAACUUUAUUCUAAGCGGCGCACCUCCGUUUAUGUCUCU